ACGCUCGACACCUACGGGAGGGCAGCAGUAGGGAAUCUUCCACAAUGGACGCAAGUCUGAUGGAGCAACGCCGCGUGAGUGAAGAAGGUCUUCGGAUCGUAAAACUCUGUUGUUAGAGAAGAACACGAGUGAGAGUAACUGUUCAUUCGAUGACGGUAUCUAACCAGCAAGUCACGGCUAACUACGUGGCCAGCAGCCGCGGUAAUCUGAGCGGGCUGGCAAGGC
rnacentral:rRNA from 1 species